GGGGCCCGCACAAGCGGCGGAGCAUGUGGAUUAAUUCGAUGCAACGCGAAGAACCUUACCUAGGCUUGACAUAUACAGGACGACGGCAGAGAUGUCGUUUCCCUUGUGGCUUGUAUACAGGUGGUGCAUGGUUGUCGUCAGCUCGUGCCGUGAGGUGUCGGGUUAAGUCCCAUAACGAGCGCAACCCUUACCGUUAGUUACCAUCAGGUUAAGCUGGGGACUCUAGCGGGACUGCCACCGUAAGGUGAGAGGAAGGUGGGGAUGACGUCAAAUCAGCACGGCCCUUAUGUCCAGGGCUACACACGUGUUACAAUGGCCAGUACAAAGGGCAGCUACCGGGUGACCGGAUGCUAAUCUCUAAAGCUGGUCUCAGUUCGGAUCGAAGUCUGCAACCCGACUUCGUGAAGCUGGAUUCGCUAGUAAUCGCGCAUCAGCCAUGGCGCGGUGAAUACGUUCCCGGGCCUU
rnacentral:rRNA from 1 species